rnacentral:rRNA from 1 species
UACGGAGGUUGCGAGCGUUAAUCGGAAUGACUGGGCGUAAAGGGCAUGUAGGCGGAUGAAUAAGUUAGGUGUGAAAGCCCCUGGCUCAACUUGGGAAUAGCAUUUGAAACUGUUCGUCUGGAGUACUGUAGAGGGAGGUGGAAUUCCACGUGUAGCGGUGAAAUGCGUAGAGAUGUGGAGGAAUACCGGUGGCGAAGGCGGCCUUCUGGACAGAUACUGACGCUGAGAUGCGAAAGCGUGGGGAGCAAACAGG